rnacentral:rRNA from 1 species
AGCGAACGCUGGCGGCAGGCCUAACACAUGCAAGUCGAGCGCCGUAGCAAUACGGAGCGGCAGACGGGAGAGUAACACGUGGGAACGUGCCCUUCAGUUCGGAACAACCCAGGGAAACUUGGGCUAAUACCGGAUACGUCCGUAAGGAGAAAGAUUUAUCGCUGAAGGAUCGGCCCGCGUCUGAUUAGCUAGUUGGUGGGGUAAUGGCCCACCAAGGCGACGAUCAGUAGCUGGUCUGAGAGGAUGAUCAGCCUCACUGGGACUGAGACACGGCCCAGACUCCUACGGGAGGCAGCAGUGGGGAAUAUUGGACAAUGGGCGCAAGCCUGAUCCAGCCAUGCCGCGUGGGUGAUGAAGGCCCUAGGGUUGUAAAGCCCUUUCGGCGGGGAAGAUAAUGACGGUACCCGCAGAAGAAGCCCCGGCUAACUUCGUGCCAGCCGCCGCGGUAACAC